rnacentral:rRNA from 1 species
AGAUUGAACGCUGGCGGCAUGCCUUACGCAUGCAAGUCGAACGGUAGAGUAGCAAUACUCGAGAGUGGCGAACGGGUGAGUAAUAUAUCGGAACGUGCCCAGUCGUGGGGGAUAACGUAGAGAAAUUUACGCUAAUACCGCAUACGAUCUACGGAUGAAAGCGGGGGAUCGCAAGACCUCGCGCGAUUGGAGCGGCUGAUAUCAGAUUAGGUUGUUGGUGAGGUAAAAGCUCACCAAGCCGACGAUCUGUAGCUGGUUUGAGAGAACGACCAGCCACACUGGGACUGAGACACGGCCCAGACUCCUACGGGAGCAGCAGUGGGGAAUUUUGGACAAUGGGCGAAAGCCUGAUCCAGCAAUGCCGCGUGCAGGAAGAGGCCUUCGGGUUGUAAACUGCGUUUUGUAACCGGAACGAAAAGGCUCUUUACGUUAAAUAAAGGGGUACCCCAAGUU